rnacentral:rRNA from 1 species
UACGUAGGGGGCAAGCGUUGUCCGGAUUUAUUGGGCGUAAAGAGCGUGUAGGCGGCCAGGUAGGUCUGCUGUGAAAACUCGAGGCUCAACCUCGAGACGUCGGCGGAAACCAUCUGGCUAGAGUCCGGAAGAGGAGAGUGGAAUUCCUGGUGUAGCGGUGAAAUGCGCAGAUAUCAGGAAGAACACCCGUGGCGAAGGCGGGUCUCUGGACAGUUCCUGACGCUGAGGCACGAAGGUCAGGGGAGCAAACGGG